UACGUAGGGCGCAAGCGUUAUCCGGAAUUAUUGGGCGUAAAGAGCUCGUAGGCGGUUUGUCGCGUCUGCCGUGAAAGUCCGGGGCUCAACUCCGGAUCUGCGGUGGGUACGGGCAGACUAGAGUGCUGUAGGGGAGACUGGAAUUCCUGGUGUAGCGGUGAAAUGCGCAGAUAUCAGGAGGAACACCGGUGGCGAAGGCGGGUCUCUGGGCCGUAACUGACGCUGAGGAGCGAAAGCAUGGGGAGCGAACAGG
rnacentral:rRNA from 1 species